GGCUCAGGAUGAACGCUAGCUACAGGCUUAACACAUGCAAGUCGAGGGGAAACGAUAGNGAAAGCUUGCUUUUUCUAGGCGUCGACCGGCGCACGGGUGAGUAACGCGUAUCCAACCUGCCCAUCACUUGGGGAUAACCUUGCGAAAGUAAGACUAAUACCCAAUGACGUCUCUAGAAGACAUCUGAAAGAGAUUAAAGAUUUAUCGGUGAUGGAUGGGGAUGCGUCUGAUUAGCUUGUUGGCGGGGUAACGGCCCACCAAGGCGACGAUCAGUAGGGGUUCUGAGAGGAAGGUCCCCCACAUUGGAACUGAGACACGGUCCAAACUCCUACGGGAGGCAGCAGUGAGGAAUAUUGGUCAAUGGACGAGAGUCUGAACCAGCCAAGUAGCGUGCAGGAUGACGGCCCUAUGGGUUGUAAACUGCUUUAUAAGGGAAUAAAGUGAGUCUCGUGAGACUUUUGCAUGUACCUUAUGAAUAAGGACCGGCUAAUUCCGUG
rnacentral:rRNA from 1 species